UACACCAGCAAUAUUAUUUUUCGUAUGAAACAUGAAUUUUGUGGUUGCUGAUGCCUAUGGAUAUAAAAUCAUAAUGCCUAUAGAUACAAGAAAACUCCACUGCUGUCCUAUUCUUGUACAUGUGCAUACUCCAAUGGUACUGAUUUUAUGGCAUGAGCAGUAGAAAACAAACACACUGAAGGUGUGUCAAAUUGGCAACUUGAUUUGCACAUUGAAGCUUAAAACUAAUUUCAUGUUCUCAUCUAAGUAAUCUGACGGUGCAUGAUUGUUUUGUUUUUCAGGCAAGCAGGUUUCUAGAGCUAGAGCGUUCCCUCCGCAAAAAAGAAAAGGAAAAGGUGUUUUUAGCAGUUCGAAGCAGAAGCAGCUUAUCACUGGAUGAGGUGCAGCCUGGGAUGCGACUGAAGUCUGAUUAUGUGUAUGUCUAUGGCUACAUCUACUGCAGCUGUCUUGCGGAAAUCAUCAAAUAUGUUAAACUGUGUUGUAGUACUUUAUGUGUCUGUCUGUCUAAUGGAGUAGUAUGUACUUGUCAACUGAAGUCUGAAAUAUUUGGGUUAAAUAAGGCAGUGUUGGCCUUGAUAAUUGAUUGUAAUCCACCGCCAGUUUGACUUAAUGCUGACGCCAAA